UUCACAACCAUGGAGUAUAACUGAAUUAAAUUACAGGUCAUAUUACUUGGUAUCAUUUACUGUCCAUGUGUUUCUGAUGGAUUUUACUUACUAAAGCACUUUAUGCCCCUUUUCUAACAUCGGCUAAUCCACACAACAUCCUUGUGAAACUGAUAAGUAAUAUCCUUACUUCACAGUCAGAGAUAGAAAGGCUGUAUGGCUUGCCAAAGUAAGCAGAAUACAUUCGGUAUUAGAACUGGCAGUAAUACUUUGGAGUUCCUAGUUAUUUAUCCUACUCUGGAAAAUGUGUAGGAUAUUUGUUGUGUAUGUAAUCUACACUUUGAUUCAAUAAAACUUUUUUCCUGUGUGUAAAUCUCCUCUCUUUCAGGGAUUGCAUAUGACAAGUUCAAAAUUUUUUCCUACUCUAAACUGUACAUAAACAUAAAUCAACUAUCGAAUGCAUGUUGAAAAAAAAUAUUCUUUCUAAAGAAAUACCAAAAUCAUGAGACGUUUGCUUUGGAGUAAAAUGACCUGGGUUUACAUAGGCUGAUUAUCUACAAGUUGUUCAUCGUACUGACAGCUGAUACUCCUGUUUUUCUGUACCUUGCUAUCUUCCUUUCUAUCUUCCGUGAAACAAAGUACUUUCCUCCAAAUUCUAGCAAUAAGAUUCAUUUUUUAAUUGGAUUAAAAAAAAAAAAGCCACCAAAAGCUGGUAAUGGUUAUGUUUGGCAGUCUGACUUAUGCUACCGCCUACAAAUAGGAAUAAUGAACCCCAGCAGGUUCUCAGGAAAGUAACUUGCUGUUAGCCCUCGUAGAUAGUACUCCUGUACAUGAGGGAACUCUAACAAAGAUGCAGAUGAGAUCUGUUUUUCCUGUUAUGUGCUGUGUGUAUACACAUUAUAAUGAUUAUUUAACUUGUGUUGGAAUGCUCCACCUGCUCUCCCAGUGUUUACUGUGACAUCAGAGCCACCUGAAGACACUCCCAUCCCAACCACGUACUCCUCCCAUGCCACGUCCCUGUCUGUCCUCCCCUGUGGUUUUUGAGGCUUUGUUGUGAAUUGGAUCCUUGAAGUGAUCUGGAUGAAAAAUAAACCUUCACUUAAUCUGUCUCUUCCCUUCUGCCUCCACCCAGAGAACUCUCAGCAGUAAACCUUUAGCUAUUUUGGAGUCAGAUCAUUUUGCUGAUCCAGAACAUCAGAACAGCAUGGGCUUUAUUUUCUGCAUCAUCAAAGCACUGCACCUUUUUACAGAAACAGUGGCUAGUCUGCAGCAUCCCUCUGAUAGUCCAUCUGCUGAAUUUCACAGCAAGGAGGAAUUUCAUCAUCUGUAGCAAGGAUGCUGACGGUCCUGGUGCAGGGGUCAAUCAGCAGGGUCUCCUGCUUGAGAUUCAUUUGAGGAGGGACUUGAUGGGUACUUGAUGGCACAGGGAGCCACAGGGAGGAAAGAGAGGAAAAAAGAAGGUAAUUCUCAAAAAAUAGAGACCAGGUUGAUUAGACAGCAGCUCCUUCUGCUCUCGCCUCCUGUCUUCCCUAUUAGUUUAUUCUAUGUCUUUGCUUUUAAGGAUGAUCUCCUACUAUCAGAUAUUUCCUACUCGAGCUUAAAUUGACAAGUUUAUGCCAACUCACUGCAGUUUUGCAAUAUGCUCAGUGAAUCACAAAGGAAAUAAGCUUCUGGCUAUUUCUGGCUUAAAUUUCUUUUGUUGUUUGUGCUUCUUCAGCUAUCUCUGAUUUCUUUCAUGCUUCUCCUGCACUUUGCAA